CAGUCGCCGCGGGAAUACGUAGGGUGCGAGCGUUAAUCGGAAUUACUGGGCGCAAAGCGUGCGCAGGCGGUUAUAUAAGACAGAUGUGAAAUCCCCGGGCUCAACCUGGGACCUGCAUUUGUGACUGUAUAGCUAGAGUACGGUAGAGGGGGAUGGAAUUCCGCGUGUAGCAGUGAAAUGCGUAGAUAUGCGGAGGAACACCGAUGGCGAAGGCAAUCCCCUGGACCUGUACUGACGCUCAUGCACGAAAGCGUGGGGAGCAAACAGGAUUAGAUACCCGGGUAGUCCCUGUCUCUUAUAU
rnacentral:rRNA from 1 species